GUGUCAGCCGCCGCGGUAAUACGGAGGAGGCAAGCGUUAUCCGGAAUUAUUGGGCGUAAAGCGUCCGUAGGUGGAUGUUCAAGUCUUCUGUCAAAGCGCGGAGCUUAACUCCGUAAAGGCAGAGGAAACUGAGCGUCUAGAGUGCGAUAGGGGCAAGGGGAAUUCCCAGUGUAGCGGUGAAAUGCGUAGAUAUUGGGAAGAACACCGGUGGCGAAAGCGCCUUGCUGGGUCUGCACUGACACUGAGGGACGAAAGCUAGGGGAGCGAAAGGGAUUAGAAACCCCCGUAGUCC
rnacentral:rRNA from 1 species